rnacentral:rRNA from 1 species
AUUGAACGCUGGCGGCAGGCCUAACACAUGCAAGUCGAGCGGAUGAAGGGAGCUUGCUCCUGGAUUCAGCGGCGGACGGGUGAGUAAUGCCUAGGAAUCUGCCUGGUAGUGGGGGAUAACGUCCGGGAACGGGCGCUAAUACCGCAUACGUCCUGAGGGAGAAAGUGGGGGAUCUUCGGACCUCACGCUAUCAGAUGAGCCUAGGUCGGAUUAGCUAGUUGGUGGGGUAAAGGCCUACCAAGGCGACGAUCCGUAACUGGUCUGAGAGGAUGAUCAGUCACACUGGAACUGAGACACGGUCCAGACUCCUACGGGAGGCAGCAGUGGGGAAUAUUGGACAAUGGGCGAAAGCCUGAUCCAGCCAUGCCGCGUGUGUGAAGAAGGUCUUCGGAUUGUAAAGCACUUUAAGUUGGGAGGAAGGGCAGUAAGUUAAUACCUUGCUGUCUUGACGUUACCAACAGAAUAAGCACCGGCUAACUUCGUG